GACGAACGCUGGCGGCGUGCUUAACACAUGCAAGUCGAACGGAAAGGCCCUGCGUUCGUGGGGUGCUCGAGUGGCGAACGGGUGAGUAACACGUGAGUAACCUGCCCUUGACUUUGGGAUAACUUCAGGAAACUGGGGCUAAUACCGGACAGGAGCCCCUGCUGCAUGGUGGGGGUUGGAAAGUUUCUGCGGUUGGGGAUGGACUCGCGGCUUAUCAGCUUGUUGGUGGGGUAGUGGCUUACCAAGGCUUUGACUGGUAGCCGGCCUGAGAGGGUGACCGGCCACAUUGGGCCUACGAUACGGAGCAGACUCCAAUGGGAGGCAGCGGGGGGGAGUAUUACACAAUGGGCGGGAGCCUGUUGCGACGGCGCCGCGUGUGGGAUGACGGCCUGCGGGUUGUGAACCGCUUUAGGUUGUGACGAAGCGGGUGUGACGGUAAUGGAAGAAGAAGCACCGGCUAACUACGUG
rnacentral:rRNA from 1 species